rnacentral:rRNA from 1 species
UACGUAGGGCGCAAGCGUUAUCCGGAAUUACUGGGCGUAAAGAGCUCGUAGGUGGUUUGUCGCGUUGUUCGUGAAAACCUGAGGCUUAACCUUGGGCGUGCGGGCGAUACGGGCAGACUGGAGUACUGCAGGGGAGACUGGAAUUCCUGGUGUAGCGGUGGAAUGCGCAGAUAUCAGGAGGAACACCGGUGGCGAAGGCGGGUCUCUGGGCAGUAACUGACGCUGAGGAGCGAAAGCGUGGGGAGCGAACAGG